rnacentral:tRNA from 2 species
GCGGGUGUAGUUCAAUGGUAGAACGCGAGCUUCCCAAGCUCGUAGCGUGGGUUCGAUUCCCAUCACCCGCUCCA